rnacentral:rRNA from 1 species
CCUCUUCGGAGGCACCUGCACAGGUGCUGCAUGGCUGUCGUCAGCUCGUGUCGUGAGAUGUUGGGUUAAGUCCCGCAACGAGCGCAACCCUUAUCCCUAGUUGCCAUCAGGUAAAGCUGGGAACUCUGGGGAGACUGCCGGUGAUAAACCGGAGGAAGGCGGGGAUGACGUCAAGUCCUCAUCGGCCCUUACAUCCCGGGCUACACACGUGCUACAAUGGCAGGUACAGAGGGCUGCGAAGCCGCGAGGUGGAGCGAAUCCCAGAAAACCUGUCUCAGUCCGGAUUGAAGUCUGCAACUCGACUUCAUGAAGGCGGAAUCGCUAGUAACCGCGAAUCAGCAGGUCGCGGUGAAUACGUUCCCGGGCCUU